AAACACAUUUAGGAGGGUUUCCCAACUUGGCUGGCUAUGCUGUCUCCACUUUUAGAAGCUGAGAACCAGUGUUACAGAAAAAUCGUUUGAGAACUGUUGCUGAAUGGUGUGUACCAUGUAUCCAUGUACCCCAGGCAAUCCUCCUGAACAGUUUCCUGAAGAUUUACGAAAUAACAGAAUGUCUGGACCUUGACCUGUUGCCAUUUUGGAUCAGCAUGGACACACUGUGCUUCCUCCUGCCACGGGAUCUUUGCUCUCUAAUGGCCUGGCUGCCAGAGUUACUGUCUCCAUCAGUUCCAGUGCAGCCUUUGCCUGGGUAGCCCAAGAGGACAACAGAGGAACCAAGACUUCCAUCCCUGCCAGCUGCUGUGACUCCUUGCUCAGUGUCAGACACAGAGGAGGCAGUGACAGCCAGAAUGAUAGCAGCAAAGGUCUUCUGGGAAACUUAUUCUCGUCUCUGUCCAAGAAUAUCAAGAAGCACCUCAUCCAGGG